AUGAGGUUUUUCCGAAUGCUCUGGAACAGGAGGUCAAGACUGGUGCCAGCAUCCGCGGUAAUACCAGCUCCUGGAGUGUCUAUGAUGAUUGCUGCAGUUAAAGAGUUCGUAGUCGGGCUGCGUGACUGGCGUGAAAGGCCUUCUUUCAAGGGGGGCACAGCGCGGGGAAAGCAGAGGAUAAGGAGCGUUUUGGGGCCAGGUUAUUAAGCGACGAGAGGUGAAAUUUGAUGACUCGCUUAGGGAGGAACA
rnacentral:rRNA from 1 species